GACGAACGCUGGCGGCGUGCUUAACACAUGCAAGUCGAACGGAAAGGCCCUGCUUGCAGGGUACUCGAGUGGCGAACGGGUGAGUAACACGUGGGUGAUCUGCCCUGCACUUCGGGAUAAGCUUGGGAAACUGGGUCUAAUACCGGAUAGGAGCCAUCUUUAGUGUGGUGGUUGGAAAGUUUUUUCGGUGUAGGAUGAGCUCGCGGCCUAUCAGCUUGUUGGUGGGGUAAUGGCCUACCAAGGCGGCGACGGGUAGCCGGCCUGAGAGGGUGUACGGCCACAUUGGGACUGAGAUACGGCCCAGACUCCUACGGGAGGCAGCAGUGGGGAAUAUUGCACAAUGGGCGCAAGCCUGAUGCAGCAACGCCGCGUGGGGGAUGAAGGCCUUCGGGUUGUAAACUCCUUUCGCUAGGGACGAAGCUUUUUUGUGACGGUACCUAGAUAAGAAGCACCGGCUAACUACGUG
rnacentral:rRNA from 1 species